rnacentral:rRNA from 1 species
GAUGAACGCUGGCGGCGUGCCUAAUACAUGCAAGUCGAGCGAACAGACGAGGAGCUUGCUCCUCUGACGUUAGCGGCGGACGGGUGAGUAACACGUGGAUAACCUACCUAUAAGACUGGGAUAACUUCGGGAAACCGGAGCUAAUACCGGAUAAUAUAUUGAACCGCAUGGUUCAAUAGUGAAAGACGGUUUUGCUGUCACUUAUAGAUGGAUCCGCGCCGCAUUAGCUAGUUGGUAAGGUAACGGCUUACCAAGGCGACGAUGCGUAGCCGACCUGAGAGGGUGAUCGGCCACACUGGAACUGAGACACGGUCCAGACUCCUACGGGAGGCAGCAGUAGGGAAUCUUCUGCAAUGGGCGAAAGCCUGACGGAGCAACGCCGCGUGAGUGAUGAAGGUCUUCGGAUCGUAAAACUCUGUUAUUAGGGAAGAACAAAUGUGUAAGUAACUAUGCACGUCUUGACGGUACCUAAUCAGAAAGCCACGGCUAACUACGU